rnacentral:rRNA from 1 species
CACGUAGGGGGCAAGCGUUGUCCGGAUUUAUUGGGCGUAAAGAGCUCGUAGGUGGUUCGGUAAGUCAGGUGUGAAACCUCCAGGCUCAACCUGGAGACGCCACUUGAUACUGCUGUGACUGGAGUCCGGUAGGGGAGCGUGGAAUUCCACGUGUAGCAGUGAAAUGCGUAGAUAUGUGGAGGAACACCGAUGGCGAAGGCAGCCCCCUGGGAUGUGACUGACGCUCAUGUACGAAAGCGUGGGGAGCAAACAGG